GGUCCUAUAGCUCAGCUGGUUAGAGCACUUGACUCAUAAUCAAGGGGUCCCUGGUUCGAGCCCAGGUGGGACCACCU
rnacentral:tRNA from 4 species